GCUGACGUAGCUCAGUUGGUAGAGCAGCUGAUUUGUAAUCAGCAGGUCGUCGGUUCAAUCCCGACCGUCAGCU
rnacentral:tRNA from 3 species